AAGUGGUGGAGCAUGUUGCUUAAUUCGAUAAUACACGAAAAACCUUACCGAGGCUUGUAAUCUUUUGCGAAGCUAUAGAAAUAUAGUGGAGGUUAUCAGAAUGACAGGUGGUGCAUGGCUGUCGUCAGCUCGUGUCUUGAGAUGUUUGGUUAAGUCCCWUAACGAGCGCACCCUUCUCUUUAGUUAAAUAGUUCUAAAGUGAC
rnacentral:rRNA from 1 species